CAUGGACUAUAAAUGGCAAACUCCUUGCCAUGAAACGAUAUGGUGGUUCCUCUGAAAGAGAAACCUAGAAUUACCGUAGAAUCCAACAGUUCCACUUUUGGAGAUGCACACUGAGGGUUGCAGACCCACCUUCAAAAAAGCUACCCAAAGUCUCUGUCCAUGUAUCUGAUCUUGGACCCCACCUCCGAGCAGCAGCAGCAAAGUAGAGCCAUUUGUGCUGUGGCAUCUGCAAUUUUGGUGACUCAUGAACGAUCAUCUUUUCUCUGAAGGAGCAGGAAUGAAGAAUUUGCGACCAGUUUAUCUUCUCGCUGUCCCUCCCCUUUAGGACAACUGCCUCAUGCUGGAUCCUUAAUUUAAAGAAAAUGGAUGUUUCCCUCUGGCCUGAAAGCUGGGGAUUCUUAUCAAAAGUGACAUUAAAAAAGUGCCAGACUGGCCUCCUCCCUCU